UACGGCGACCAUAGCGAUAGGGUCACAUCUGAACUCGUCUCGAUCUCAGUAAUAAAGUCUAUCCACGUUUUGUUUGGUACUAUAGAUGGUAAGUCUAUGGGAAUUUCAGAAAGUUGCCGGCC
rfam:Methanosphaera stadtmanae DSM 3091, complete genome.